rnacentral:rRNA from 1 species
GAUGAACGCUGACGGUAUGCUUAACACAUGCAAGUCGAACGGACUCUUCGGAGUUAGUGGCGGACGGGUGAGUAACGCGUGAGAAUCUGGCUUUGGGUUCGGGACAACCACUGGAAACGGUGGCUAAUACCGGAUGUGCCGAGAGGUAAAAGAGAAAUUGCCUGAAGAUGAGCUCGCGUCUGAUUAGCUAGUUGGUGAGGUAAAGGCUCACCAAGGCAGCGAUCAGUAGCUGGUCUGAGUGGAUGACCAGCCACACUGGGACUGAGACACGGCCCAGACUCCUACGGGAGGCAGCAGUGGGGAAUUUUCCGCAAUGGGCGAAAGCCUGACGGAGCAAUACCGCGUGAGGGAAGAAGGCUCUUGGGUUGUAAACCUCUUUUCUUAGGGAAGAACAAAAUGACGGUACCUAAGGAAUCAGCAUCGGCUAACUCCGUG